AGCGAACGUUUGCGGCGGGCCUAACACAUGCAAGUCGAACGAGAAUCUCUUCGGAGAGGAAAGUGGCGCACGGGUGCGUAACACGUGGAUAACCAACCCNGCCUGUCGGGAUAACGCUGGGAAACCGGCGCUAAUACCGGGUGUGUCCGAGGUGUCAUCAGGCGCUUCGGAGAAAGACACGCAAGGGUCGCCAGGGGACGGGUCCGCGUCCUAUCAGCUAGUUGGUGAGGUAAUGGCUCACCAAGGCAAAGACGGGUAGCUGGUCUGAGAGGAUGAUCAGCCACACUGGAACCUGAGACACGGUCCAGACUCCUACGGGAGGCAGCAGUGGGGAAUAUUGCGCAAUGGGCGGAAGCCUGACGCAGCCACGCCGCGUGAGCGAUGAA
rnacentral:rRNA from 1 species